AGUAGCGAAGGUCAUGAUCUCAGACUGCCAAGAAAAGCCUCUAGCCAGGAGAAGGUGCCCGUACCGCAAACCGACACAGGUAGGCGAGAAGAGAAUUCUAAGGCGCGCGGAAGAACUCUCGUUAAGGAACUCGGCAAAAUGACCCCGUAACUUCGGGAGAAGGGGUGCCUCGGUAGGGUGAAUAGCCCGAGGGGGCCGCAGUGAAAAGGCCCAAGCGACUGUUUAGCAAAAACACAGGUCUGUGCGAAGCCGCAAGGCGAAGUAUACGGGCUGACGCCUGCCCGGUGCUGGAAGGUUAAGGGGAGUGGUUAGCUCUUUUAGAGCGAAGCUAUGAACCGAAGCCCCAGUAAACGGCGGCCGUAACUAUAACGGUCCUAAGGUAGCGAAAUUCCUUGUCAGGUAAAUUCUGACCCGCACGAAUGGCGUAACGACUUGGGCGCUGUCUCAACGAGAGAUCCGGUGAAAUUUUAAUACCUGUGAAGAUGCAGGUUACCCGCGACAAGACGGAAAGACCCCAUGGAGCUUUACUGCAGCUUGAUAUUGAAUUUGGGUACGAUCUGUACAGGAUAGGUGGGAGCCGU
rnacentral:rRNA from 1 species